CGGACAGAUACUGCAUCACCGGCGAAUGACGACGCCACCGUGUCCAUCGCGGGCGACCGCCGCCGCCAGCAGAUCGGGCUUGUCCUGCAUCGCCGGCGAGCUAUGCCGCCACACGUCGAGGCCGCCGCAACAUCGAGAGGCGCUGCCAGCUACAGAGAAAUUGAGAGAGAGAUAUCAGGCGGUCCAGGCCGGAUCACAAUGGACUGACAUAUAUACUGUGAUGUUGUCAUGCCUUCAAAUGUUAUCUUGAUGCCAUCAAUUUUCAUGGCUGCUGAAUGUAUGAGAGUGAAACAACAAAUCCGUUUUUACUGAUUGUUGUUUAUGCACAACGCCAUCUUUCUCUGUAAGGUGGUUUGUGACUUGAGGAAAAAGCUCUGGAUCAAGGCUCACGGAAUCGAUAUUGGCUAUGCAGUCCGUGCCCAAUCUGCAGGUGCUGGUGCCUUGUCUUCCCAAGGUGGUGGCUACCACCGCUAAUGCCUAACGGGAUGAAUAUGCACAAAAGACGCUAGUGGUUAGCAAGACCUUCAGAAGUGGUUUGUGACUUGAGGAAAAAGCUCUGGAUCAAGGCUCACGGAAUCGAUAUUGGCUAUGCAGUCCGUGCCCAAUCUGCAGGUGCUGGUGCCUUGUCUUCCCAAGGUGGUGGCUACCACCGCUAAUGCCUAACGGGAUGAAUAUGCACAAAAGACGCUUGUCAUGUGUCUACUAGACGUCGAGCUUUCUCGUUGCCGACUGGAGAAUAGAUAUGUUGGAAUAAUGCUGAUGGUGUUCUAGUUAAACUGACUGUAAUUGGAAGAGUAUUUUGGUUGGUACUUAUUUGCAGUCAACUAGUUUGAAAUAAAAUAUUUUUAUGUGA